AUGCCUGGCCUACCUUUACCUGCCCGGGACGCAGCGGACGCUGGGUGUGAAUUCAGUUACCCUCAGUCUGCAGACCAGAUGCGCCAGCAACAGCUGAGAGCUCGAUUAUCUCCAGAUGAGCAGCUUGCUGCUGAAGAAAGUUUUGCGUUGUACUGCAAGCCAGUUGAGCUAUACAAUAUUAUUCAGCGGCGAGCCAUUAGAAAUCCCGCUUUUCUGCAAAGAUGCCUUCAUUACAAGAUACAUGCAAGCCGAAAAAAGAGAGACUUCACUAUUAUGUACUUUGCUGAUUCCUUUAGCUCUCUUGGAACCGCGUACAUAAGGAUUCAGAUAACGGUAUCACUAUCUCGAAGUACAAAUACUGAGUUGCCAGAACAGAAUAUCUUUCCUCUUUAUGUUCUGUUGGCUACACCUACUAGUAAUAUUUCGCUUGAAGGGCAUUCUCCGAUAUAUCGAUUCAGUCGGGCUUGUUUGCUUACAGCUUUUAGUGAAUUUGGUAAUAAAGGUCGCACCAAAGCUACAUUUAUAAUUCCAGACAUCAAGAAUUUAUCAACCUCCCGAGCUUGCAACCUUAACAUUAUCCUUAUCAGCUGUGUUUCGGAAGGGCAAGUUGGGGAAAAUCUUGGUGAAAGUAACUUCUCUGUGGACCAUGUGGAAGGCUCUGCUCUCCAAAAGCUUGAAGGGAAAUGUUUCUGGGGUAAAAUACCAAUUGAUCUACUUGGUUCGUCUUUGGAGAACUGUGUAACUUUAAAUUUGGGACAUACAGUGGAGUUGGCUUCUGCAGUUAGUAUGAGCCCAAGUUUCUUAGAGCCGAAAUUUAUGGAGCAGGACAGUUGCUUGACAUUUUGCUCUCAUAAGGUUGAUGCUGCGGGUUCAUAUCAACUCCAAGUAGGCAUAUCUGCUCAAGAAGCUGGUGCAAAAGACAUGUCUGAAUCUCCAUAUAGUAGUUACUCAUACAGUGGUGUCCCACCUUCAUCAUUACCACAUAUCAUAAGGUUAAGAGCUGGUAAUGUGCUUUUCAACUUCAAGUACUACAACAAUACUAUGCAAAAGACUGAAGUCACUGAAGAUUUUGCUUGCCCCUUCUGCUUGGUAAAAUGUGGAAGCUACAAGGGUUUGGGGUGUCACUUGAACUCAUCACAUGACCUAUUCCACUUUGAGUUUUGGAUAUCUGAAGAAUGCCAGGCUGUUAAUGUUAGUCUGAAGACUGAUGUCUGGAGAACUGAGCUUGUGGCUGAGGGAGUUGAUCCAAGACAUCAAACAUUUUCCUACUCCUCAAGGUUUAAGAAGCGUAGAAGGUUGGGAAUGUUGGGAACCACAGCUGAGAAAAUAAGCCAUGUACAUCCACAUAUCAUGGAUUCAGAUUCACCUGAAGACGCCCAGGCAGUGUCUGAAGAUGACUUUGUGCAGAGGGAGGAAGAUGAUAUUUCUGCACCACGUGCUUCUGUUGAUCCUGCUCAAUUAUUACAUGGUAGCAAUCUUUCACCACCCACAGUACUACAGUUUGGGAAGACAAGGAAACUAUCUGCGGAGCGAGCUGAUCCCAGAAACCGGCAACUCCUGCAGAAACGUCAGUUUUUCCAUUCUCACAGGGCACAGCCAAUGGCACUGGAACAAGUUUUCUCGGACCGUGAUAGUGAAGAUGAAGUUGAUGAUGACAUCGCCGAUUUUGAAGAUAAACGGAUGCUUGAGGAUUUUGUUGACGUUACAGACGAUGAGAAACUUAUUAUGCAUAUGUGGAAUUCAUUUGUUCGGAAACAAAGGGUGCUAGCUGAUGGUCAUAUUCCUUGGGCCUGUGAGGCAUUCUCCCGGCUUCAUGGAAAACAUCUUGUACAGAAUCCUCCUCUACUAUGGAGCUGGCGUUUCCUUAUGAUUAAACUCUGGAACCACAGUCUAUUAGAUGCCCGCGCCAUGAAUGUCUGCGGCACAAUUCUUCAAGGCUACCAAAAUGAAAGCUCGGACCCCAAGAAAAUGUGA
rnacentral:rRNA from 1 species